UUUUUCUUUCAAAUCCCCAAAAAGUGUGUCUGGAGAGCAUCUUAACGCAACCGUGCUAAGGAGCAACGUGGGCGCGUUGUAUAAUGAUGGCGAAAAUGCGGGAGCGUUCUAAAGUGGCGCGAGCGCGUUGCCAGUAGCUUCAGCGUGUUUUUGUUCCUUUUUUCACUAAUUUUCACACUGUCAUUUUCUUCACCCUUUGUCACUUUUCCAUGCUUUUU
rnacentral:lncRNA from 1 species